GGGGAUGUAGCUCAGUGGUAGAUCAUGCAGAAGGUCUCAGGUUCAAUCCACAGCAUCUCCA
rnacentral:tRNA from 1 species